CACCUCUGUAGCCAACAACCAAGAGAAAUCAUAGAAAUGGCUAAUACAAAAUGUAGCAAGUACAGGAUCCUUAUUACUCAUCCAGAUAUCCCUGCCAAAGCUCUCAAUAUGUUACAAGAGAAGGGAUAUGAACUGAAAAUCAGUCAAAUGCCAAAGGAAAGUAGUGCGCCACCCAGAGAAAUUUUGCUGAAAGAUGUCCAGAACAUGGAUGCCAUUUUAUGGUUCGGACACGUUAAAGUAGACAAAGAAAUGAUUGAUGCUGCUGGCGAACGCCUGAAGGUAGUAGGCAGUAUGGGGGCUGGUUACGACCACAUUGACGUAGGUUUGCUGCACCAGAGGAGCAUCAGAGUGAGCAACACGCCAGAUGUACUCAGUAGCGCGGUGGCAGACAUGGCUGUGGGUCUGGCGUUGGCAGUGUCACGUAACAUUGUCACUGGCGCAGCCGCCGUCAAACAGGGGAAGUGGAUUGGAGUUCAUCCCACAUGGAUGUGUGGUCCAACCUUGGAAAAUGCUACUGUAGGAAUUGUGGGCCUUGGUGCUAUUGGCUCAAAAAUCUUACAAAGAGUAAAAGCUUUUGAUGUCAAGGAAGUCCUUUACUAUAACCGCAGGGAGAAAAACAAGGACGAAGCGAACGGUGCGUGCUACACUUCAUUGGAUGAACUUUUGAAGAAGAGUGACUUUAUAUUCCUCACUGUCCCUUCAAACAAGGACAGUAAAGGUCUUAUUGAUAAGAAUGCGUUUAAGAAGAUGAAAAACACAGCCAUCCUCAUCAAUUCUGCAAGAGGAGAUGUCAUAAAUCAGGAUGAUCUGGUGAUGGCCCUUGAAAACAAAGAAAUUGGUGGAGCAGGAUUGGAUGUUACCCAACCUGAACCCUUACCAGUUGAUCACAAACUGUUGAAAUUUGAUAACGUUGUGGUUACACCUCACAUAUCAAGUGCAACUUUUCAAGCUAGAGAGAAAAUGGCAGUAUUGGCAGCUGAAAACAUAAUCUGUGCUCUUGAAAAUAAAGUUAUGCCAACUCCGAUCCAAAGACAAUAGUCAAAAAGUUUAGACAACAGUGUACGUCAGCUAAUGAGGAAGCUACUUAAAGAAGUGGCACUAAUGAAAUGCAGCCUAUUCAGCCGGCGGCCGCGGCCGUGCCAUUUCAGAUGUCAUCGGAGAUAGGUAAAAACAUCACCACUAAUAAGAGAGCCUGAGGGUAGGAGAGCCGAGCUGAUGAUCCAAAAUGUCAGUGAGUUAAGAUGCUUCACUGUCUGUUACUAUCAGUCAUUCUCUGUCAAGAUGCCCACGGCAAAGGACUGCUUUGCGUGCCAAAUAACUGUAAAUUUUUUUUCACCCUGGAAGAGUAUUGGAAUGAGUGGAUUUUUAUAUUAUGCUGCCAGUAUGGAUCGAAACUUAUUUCUGUGUAUAGUAAAUGAUAAUAAACAUAUGAUUAUUACCUGUAUUUUUGUAACCUUCAAGGCAAGUAAAACGUUUUUCAUUUAGGUUU